ensembl:lncRNA
CUGCAGGGCAGUCCGUCGCGGAUGCGGCCGAUGAUCCCCGCGGAGGGAUCGACGCGGCAGUACAGAGCGCCGCCCGUGGCCGCCACCGCCACCAUCCAACUGGACGGGGAGAUCGGGUACAGCCCGCACAGCACGCGGUUCUGCAACGCAAUGCAAUGCAAUGCAAUGCAAUGCAAUGCAACCCCGGGUACAGCCCGCACAGCACGCGGUUCUGCAACGGAAUGCAAUGCAAUGCAACCCCGGCCCGCACAGCACGCGGUUCUGCGGGGGGGGGACACAAUGCACCCCCAUACGGACACACGGGGACACAAUGCAAUGCAAUGCAAUGCAAUGCAACCCCGGGUACAGCCCGCACAGCACGCGGUUCUGCAAUGCAAUGCAAUGCAAUGCAAUGCAACCCCGGAUACAGCCCGCACAGCACGCGGUUCUGCAACGCAAUGCAAUGCAAUGCAAUGCAAUGCAACCCCGGGUACAGCCCGCACAGCACGCGGUUCUGCAAUGCAAUGCAAGGCAAUGCAAUGCAACCCCGGGUACAGCCCGCACAGCACGCGGUUCUGCAAUGCAAUGCAAUGCAAUGCAAUGCAAUGCAACCCCGGGUACAGCCCGCACAGCACGCGGUUCUACAACGCAAUACAACGCAAUGCAAUGCAAUGCAGUGCAAUGCAACCCCGGGUACAGCCCGCACAGCACGCGGUUCUGCAACGCAAUGCAAUGCAAUGCAAUGCAACCCCGGGUACAGCCCGCACAGCACGCGGUUCUGCAAUGCAAUGCAAUGCAAUGCAAUGCAACCCCGCACAGCACGCGGUUCUGCGGGGGGGGGGGGGGGACAUAAUGCACACCCAUAGAGACACACGGGGACACAAUGCAAUGCAAUGCAAUGCACCCCCAUACGGACAUGUGGGGACACAAUGCAAUGCAAUGCAAUGCACCCCCAUACGGACAUGUGGGGACACAAUGCAAUGCAAUGCAACCCCGCACAGCACGCGGUUCUGGGGGGGGGGGGGGGGGACACACAAUGCAAUGCAAUGCAAUGCAAUGCAAUGCAAUGCAACGCAAUGCAACCCCGCACAGCACGCGGUUCUGCGGGGGGGGGACAUAAUGCACCCCCAUACAGACACACGGGGGGACAUAGAGCUCCAUAGGGACACACAGAGGGACAGAGAGGGACAUAGGGGGACAUAGAGGUCCAUAGGGGGACAUGGAGGUCCAUAGGGGGACACAGGGGGACAGAGAGGGACAUAGGGGAACAUGGGGACAUAGAGCUCCAUAGGGGACAUAGAGAUCCAUACGGACACAGAGGGGGACAUAGAGGUCCAUAGGGGGACAUAGGGGGACAUAGGGACACAUAGGGGGACAUGGAGGUCCACAGGGGGACAUAGGGGGACAUAGAGACACACAUGGGGGGACAGAGUGACCCAUUGGGACAUACACGGGGACAUAGAGGGACACAGAGGUCCAUAGGGACACACAGAGGGACAUAGAGGUCCAUAGGGGGACAUAGGGGGACACAUGGGGACAUAGAGCUCCAUAGGGACACAAAGGGGCACAUAGAGGUCCAUAGGGGGACAUAGGGGUCCAUAGGGACACACAGAGGGACAUAGAGGGACAUAGGGGGACAUAGGGGUCCAUAGGGACACACAGAGGGACAUAGGGGGACAUAGGGGGACAUAGAGCUCCAUAGGGACACACAGAGGGACAGAGAGGUCCAUAGCGACACAGAGGGGGACAUAGAGGGACAUAGGGGUCCAUACAGACACACAUGGGGACAGAGAGGUCCAUAGGGGGACAUAGGGGGACACAGAGGUCCAUAGGGACACAUAGGGGGACAUAGAGGGACAUAGGGGGACAUAGAGCUCCAUAGGGGGACAUAGGGGGACAUAGGGACACACAGAGGGACAGAGAGGGACAUAGGGGGACAUAGAGGGACAUAGGGACACACGGGGACAUAGAGCUCCAUAGGGGACAUAGAGAUCCAUAGGGACACGUGGGGACAUAGAGGUCCAUAGGGGGACAUAGGGGGACAUAGGGACACAUAGGGGGACAUGGAGGUCCACAGGGGGACAUAGGGACACAUAGGGGGACACAGAGGUCCAUAGGGGGACAUAGGGGGACAUAGGGGGACAUAGAGACACACAUAGGGGGACAGAGUGACCCACUGGGACAUACACGGGGACAUAGAGGGACACAGAGGUCCAUAGGGACACACAGAGGGACAUAGAG